UGCUUCAGCCAUACCACCCUGAACACAUCCGAUCUCGUCUGAUCUCCUAAGCUAAGCASGGUUGGGCCCAGUUAGUACUUGGAYGGAAGAAUGUCAGGUGGUGUAAGCUUUGCAGCUAGAGUAC
rnacentral:rRNA from 1 species